CCUACGGGAGGCAGCAGUGAGGAAUAUUGGUCAAUGGGCGAGAGCCUGAACCAGCCAAGCCGCGUGAGGGAUGAAGGUCCUAUGUAUUGUAAACCUCUUUUGUCAGGGAACAAAGGCGUCCACGUGUGCCCUGAUGAGUGUACCCGAAGAAAAAGCAUCGGCUAACUCCGUGCCAGCAGCCGCGGUAAUACGGAGGAUGCGAGCGUUAUCCGGAUUUAUUGGGUUUAAAGGGUGCGCAGGCGGACAGUCAAGUCAGCGGUAAAAAUGCGGUGCUCAACGCCGUACAGCCGUUGAAACUGGCAGUCUCGAGUGGGCGAGAAGUAUGCGGAAUGCGUGGUGUAGCGGUGAAAUGCAUAGAUAUCACGCAGAACUCCGAGUGCGAAGGCAGCAUACCGGCGCCAUACUGACGCUGAGGCACGAAAGCGUGGGUAUCGAACAGGAUUAGAUACCCGUGUAGUC
rnacentral:rRNA from 1 species